AAGACCAAUCAUGCAAAAACUCAUAGUAUCGGAAAUGGGAGCCAAUGGAAUGUCCAGCAAUCAAGAGGCAACCAAUCAUAAGAAAAGAUUACCGGUGCAUUCAGCUUCAGAGUAACAUUGUUGCAAUGAUCAUGAUUUCCAUUAAGGCACGCUAGACACUUGCCUAGAGCAACAUAUUUGUGAAAGACACCAGGUGAAACAUGUGAGCAAGACGUGAUACAAACACCCACAC